rnacentral:rRNA from 1 species
UCCGUAGGUGAACCUGCGGAAGGAUCAUUACCGAGUCUUGACUGGGUUGUAGCUGGCCUUCCGAG